rnacentral:ncRNA from 2 species
CACACAUCGCUCGGGGGCCCGUGGACGCGGGCUGAGAGGGCAGGACGACCUGCCGACCGACUGAACCUGUCCGGUUAACACCGACGUAGGGAGCACUUCAUAUGACUAU